GCCUGGCUGGCUCAGCUGGUAGAGCAUUGGACUCUGGAUCUCAGGGUCAUGAGUUUGAACCUCAUGCUGGGUG